CCCCUCUUCCACUGCACCCGUGCUCGUGUCACCCCGUCUGUGGUAUACCCAUCUUCCUCCCCGACUGAAAGGGAGACGAGCGGCCCGCCAAGCGGAAAGCACAACGGCGAGAAACAUGAGCUCGUCUUCGGUGCUCGACCUCCACAAGAAGUGGUUCAUGGUUCCACUGCCGCUGCGCACCUGCAGUCUGCGCGAUGUGGCCACCUUCACCGUCACCAAGGAGCAGAUGGACAAGUACUACCAGGAGGCGCAGUCCAUCCUCGAUGAUGAGGGCAAGGCGGCGCAGAUGGACCGCGGCCGCUGGUACAGCUCGCAGUUUAUGAGUCGCGGUACGACGUCCGAUAAGAUCGCCACCGCCGCGGUGAAGCUGGCAGAUACAGACUUCAUGUUUUACCUGGACGGGUUCACUCUGCUCUUUGACACGGCGCGCACAGACACGCACCACUACGAGGCGGCACUCAAGGCGCUGACGGCUGUGUGGCCAAGGCUGUUGCCGCCGCGCCCGCUGAAGCGCUUCGUUUCGCAGUACUUUGCCACACUGCCCACGGACGACGUGGCGCGCAAGACGACGCUCGUAUACUGGUACCUGGAGGACUACCUGAAGCGCACCUAUGCCCAGUUCCUUGCCUUGAGUGAGUCCAUGCUGAAGGACCGCAUUGUGCAGCGCCGCGAUACGUGGCUGGACGCUGUGGGUAAGCUGCUCUGCUCCGUCGCCGAGGGCCGCAGCACUGCCAUGGCGAUGAUGAUCGACAAGCUAGGUGACCCCGUCUCCAGUGUCGCACACAAGGCGUACCAUCACUUGCUGAAGCUUCUCUCCGAGUCUUCCACGCACCAGUCGAUGCUGUUUACGGAGUUGGAGAAGGUCAUCUUCAUGAAGAACUGCCCGCUGCGGACUAUGCGCUACGCCGCCAAUGUCAUGAACCAGCUCGUCUUCAGCAAGGAGGAGCGUAAGCUGGCCCUCAAGUGCGUGCAGACAUACCUUAGCCUCUUCCGCCAGCUUGCCCUCACCGGCAACGUCGACUCCACAGUGACGACGGCCAUCAUUGUCGGGCUGCGCCGUGCUUUUCCGUACGCUGGCGUCGACCUGGCCCCGCUGGAGGAGCACCUCAACGCUCUUUUCAUUCUCGCCAAUACUGGCAACUUCCAGCAGCGCGUGGCCACACUUACGCUUUUGCAGCUUCUCGCCUUCAAUAAAGGCACGGCGGAGUCUUUCCUAAAUCGCUGGUACCGAACCCUGUACGGACUGCUGUUGCUCUCGCCGAAGCAGAUACCGCAGUCGGCGCAGCUCACCAACUUUUUUUCCCUUUUGCAUAAGGCAAUGCGCGCCGACAAGUCGAAGGCGCGCAUUGCCGCCUUUGUUCACCGUCUGCUGCAGCGCGCCGUCUUCUUCAACGACGCCAUGAUAUGCGCAGUGCUCUUGCUGGUCGGCGAGAUGUCGCAGGCUCACCCGCACGUGCGCAAAAUGCUCAAGGCGCACGCGAACCCCCUCGCCGCGCCUGCUGCGCUGGCGCAAAAGGGGAAGGCCGGAAAUGGCACUGGCACCGCCAGCGCCGCCUCCUCUGGCUGCAACUACGACCCCAAGGCUCGUGAGCCGCUCUUCGCGAACGCGGCCGGUGAGUGUAUUUGGACGCUUAACAUGCUCUCGCGUCACUCGCACCCGUCUGUCGUCAAGCUCUCCAUACUGCUGCUCUUUGGCGAGGACAUCGUCUUUGACGUGCACCCACUGGAUGACAUGACGCCGCUCAACUUUCUCAACAUGUUCGUCGACGCCAGAGCCAACUCAAAGGACGACGACGACGCGAAGGCUGGCAACACAGCUACGGGCAUUUCCGUCUUCCACCGCGCGGCGCACAAGGCGAGUCUGCCCAGCACGUCCGACCCGUACUUCAUCAACGCAAGCGCGCAGGACGUGGACGUCGCGGCGCUCUUUCUGCACAGGUACGCCGUGCAGCGUCAGCGCUUCCUCGAAGGCUUGUCGCAGGUGCGCUCCACCUGGGGCGACACAAGUGGCGAGGCCGACGUGGCGAUGCGCGUCACCAACCUCGACGCGGCUCUCUUCGGCCCCUCUGGCACGCUGGCCGACCCUGUGGGAACGGCGAGCGCGGCGGCCGCAUCACGCGGUACCAAGAAGGCAACAGCGGCACCAAAGCGCGCAGCAGCCAAGGACAAGGACGAGGAGGUGUCCGACGAGGGAGAGCGUGACGGGCAGGGAAGCACCGAUGGCCUGGCGGGCGACGGUGACGACGCCAGCGGUGAUGACCUGGACGACUUCGACGCGGAGGCGAGUGACAACGGCCUCGAGUGGGGCCUGGAUGACGAGGCAGCCUGCGACGCCGAGCUCGACGACGAGGAAGUGGAGGAGGACGAUGACGAGGACGCUGAGGAUGCGCUGGGCGGCAGCGCUGCCGCGGCCGCCGCCAUGGCGGACGAGGGCGCCGAGUUUGGCGAGCUCAUCGAGGCGAACGCAAAGGAGAUGUCAAAGAAGCGCAAGCGUGAACUGGAUUGGCUCGAGGGGCGCUCGGCUGGUGGUAGUGGCGGUCGCUCCGGUUUCGGCCGUGGCCGUGGCGGUGCCGGCCGCACUCGUGGCGCCUCUCCAUAUGGCCGUGGGCGCCUGCGCGGCCGCGUUUCUUCCCGCGUCCAGGGUGGCGGCGGCUUCAAGCGUGGCCGCUACUAGGGCGCACUGCCGGGCAGCGUUGUUGUGCGCACUCAGCUCUCCGGCUUUGGCCCUGCGCGUUUCGAUGUUGCUUUACACUGUGUAGAAACGUGCAACUGCUCCUGCGUUUUCCGUGGCGAGUCAGCGACGCGCGCUCCUCGACGAGUUUUCCGUUCGUCGCUUGUUGUGCUUUGCUCGAGUGCGAGCAUGUUUCCCCGCAUCUGCGCGCGUAUUUGUAGAGGUGGCGCUGCGCUGAUUCCGUUUCUCCACCCCUCACGCGCGGCUGACAGCCCCGACGACGGUCGGCGUUGAAAUCGUGUCCCCCUCUGACCAGCCCUUUCUUGUUGCUGUUGUUUUCUUUUCGGCGUGAAGGCUGCGCCUGUGUCUGCGUGUGCGUGCGGAUGGCGUCUUGUCUUACGUUUAAUCGGCGACGUUGUGCUAAGCCACCUCUAUAACGCCUCUUUCGGCAUGGACGUAAAUAAAAGAACACGGAGAGAGGGAGAAGGGAAAGGGAAAGAAACGCGAAACCGAACGCAGCACAAAAAGGGAAAGACGUGCAUGCGCGCGGGGGUGAGGAAGAGGGGGCGGCUCACGGAGGUGGCAACAGGAUCACCCCAUAUGGCGAAGGCAUAUGUGGGUGACAGCGGCAGACAGGUCUCGCCUCCUCCUCGUCUUGCCGAAAUUGUCGCCCGAGGUCGCUUGCCAUCUGUGGAUCAAAGCGAGUGAGGAGUGGAGAAGCCGAGACAGAACGGCGGCGGCGCCUCGGUAUGGGCAGCAGCCGUAGAGGAAAACCCAAGCAACUGGUGCCAUUAGUGAGCGCGAAGACAAUAUGCGAGACGCCAGCAUGUACGCGAUGCGCCCUCUCACUUGUUGCUCUCAUCCCUCUUUCACG
rnacentral:misc_RNA from 1 species